rnacentral:rRNA from 1 species
AAAUUGAAGAGUUUGAUCAUGGCUCAGAUUGAACGCUGGCGGCAGGCCUAACACAUGCAAGUCGAACGGUAACAGGAAGCAGCUUGCUGCUUUGCUGACGAGUGGCGGACGGGUGAGUAAUGUCUGGGAAACUGCCUGAUGGAGGGGGAUAACUACUGGAAACGGUGGCUAAUACCGCAUAAUGUCGCAAGACCAAAGAGGGGGACCUUCGGGCCUCUUGCUAUCAGAUGUGCCCAGAUGGGAUUAGCUUGUUGGUGAGGUAACGGCUCACCAAGGCGACGAUCCCUAGCUGGUCUGAGAGGAUGACCAGCCACACUGGAACUGAGACACGGUCCAGACUCCUACGGGAGGCAGCAGUGGGGAAUAUUGCACAAUGGGCGCAAGCCUGAUGCAGCCAUGCCGCGUGUAUGAAGAAGGCCUUCGGGUUGUAAAGUACUUUCAGCGGGGAGGAAGGUGUUG